rnacentral:rRNA from 1 species
UACGGGGGGGGCAAGCGUUGUUCGGAAUUAUUGGGCGUAAAGAGCUCGUAGGCGGCCUGUCGCGUCGGAUGUGAAAGCCCGGGGCUUAACCCCGGGUCUGCAUUCGAUACGGGCAGGCUAGAGUGUGGUAGGGGAGAUCGGAAUUCCUGGUGUAGCGGUGAAAUGCGCAGAUAUCAGGAGGAACACCGGUGGCGAAGGCGACUCGCUGGACAAGUAUUGACGCUGAGGUGCGAAAGCGUGGGGAGCAAACAGG